rnacentral:rRNA from 1 species
AGCGAACGCUGGCGGCAGGCCUAACACAUGCAAGUCGAACGAACUCUUCGGAGUUAGUGGCGGACGGGUGAGUAACACGUGGGAACGUGCCUUUUGGUUCGGAAUAACUCAGGGAAACUUGUGCUAAUACCGAAUGUGCCCUUCGGGGGAAAGAUUUAUCGCCAUUAGAGCGGCCCGCGUCUGAUUAGCUAGUUGGUGAGGUAACGGCUCACCAAGGCGACGAUCAGUAGCUGGUCUGAGAGGAUGACCAGCCACACUGGGACUGAGACACGGCCCAGACUCCUACGGGAGGCAGCAGUGGGGAAUCUUGCGCAAUGGGCGAAAACCUGACGCAGCCAUGCCGCGUGAAUGAUGAAGGUCUUAGGAUUGUAAAAUUCUUUCACCGGGGACGAUAAUGACGGUACCCGGAGAAGAAGCCCCGGCUAACUUCGUG